GCCCACAUGUAUGAACAUAGUAAUGCUGGAGCAUGUGUCUUUGAUUUCUGCAGGUCUGAUGAUGCAAAAGGGCUCCCGAGAGCAGUAGUGUCCCAGCCUUUCAGAUUAAGUUCUUCCCCACAAGGAUCUGUGUCUACUUUGAAGUCUUCAAAAGUGGCUUUGGCCCCUUCAGCAACGGCCAAAAGGAUAAGCAGAGGUUCAUCUUCAGGCACCAGCGUGAGAAGCUUUUCCAUAAACUCCCGGCUAGCCAGUUCUCUAGGAAACUUGAAUGCUGCAACAGAUGAUCCUGAGAACAAAAAGACCUCCUCAUCCUCUAAGGCAGGUUUCACAGCCAGCCCGUUCACCAACCUCUUGAAUGGCACCUCCCAGCCACCUGCCAGAAAUUACCCUGAGCUCAACAAUAACCAGUACAACAGAAGCAACAGCAGCAGCAGCAGCAGUGGGGGCAACCUCAACAGCCACCUGGGCCCCCACAGCGCCAAGACCGAGGAGCAUGCCACCAUCCUCCGGCCCUCCUACACCGGGCUUUCUUCCUCUUCAGCGAGAUUCUUGAGCCGUUCUAUCCCUUCCCUUCAGUCUGAAUAUGUUCAUUACUAAGGCCUUGCCGCUCGGUGGAAGCUGUUCCUUCUUAGACAUCUGGACAAGCCAUGCGGAGGAGGGCACCAGCUUGCUGGAAGGAUUUCUCUGCCUUCUUACCUUAAAUUAGAGAGAGCACUAAGAUAACACCUUCAAGAGACUUGAAACCAGACAGCUGGUUAAUGACUACUGUAAAUGCACUGAAACUAUGUUUAUGGAGAUUUCAACACUUUUUAAUGACAGUUUUAAUGUUGAAUUUGGUAUUUUGAAAGUUAUUUUUAAUGUAUUUCAGUAAUACAUUUGUUAUUACAUUUACAUGUACAGUGUUACAUUAUGUAUGUAUUGUGAACUUCAAAAGACUAUUUUGAUAAAUUUAUAAAUAUAUGAAAUUUAUGUAAAAACUAGACUAUAUUUUGAUUUAGAUUUUCCUGUUGUUUGCUACCAAAAAUUUGUAUUUUAAACUUAUUUAGUUUUAGUAUGGACUUUGUCUUUAAUGAUUCCUCUUUAUUAAGAAAAAGAAAGGGAGAAAGUUUUUAGGAAGUGGUUUUUAUGUUCCCACUGUAAAUAUGACAGAUCAGUGUGUUCUUUGGGGAUGUCAGUCUAAUUUAAAGAGUUCCUCCAAGUUUAUUUCUACCAAGAGUAGACUUGUUUGAUAUGAUUUAUUUAGGACAAAACCCUUCUCCUUCAUUUUUAUUUCUUGAACCAUUGAAAUUAGCUUUGUAUCCUUGGAAACUUAAAAAAAAAAAAAAACUUACAUCCAGUUGAAGAUUUUAGAGUCUCCUGGUUGUUUCUCCUGAAAGCCUGCUUUUUCUCUAUGAAAUGACUGAACAUUCCAAUUGCUUUUCUUUUUUUUUUUUUCUCCUCUCAAAAGAGUGCUUAAAAAAAAUGCCUUAAACCAUUUAUUUUGCCUCUGUUUUCUCUUUUGUACAUAUGCAGAAGAAGGAUACAUAUUUUAAAAUCCACAUCUAAGGUCUCUGAUCGCUCUGCCUCUUAUCAUACAAUGAUGAUUUUAACGACCGAAAAGCACUUCAAAAGAGUUAUUAACUCGAUUAGAAUAUUCUGCUUUUGGUACGAGGUGGUUGUUGCCUUGUAAAUCACAUGUGGUCUGACACCAGUUUAAAUUAAUGAGGGAAAACCUGAAAAAGAUGCUGCUAAGUAGUUCUUUAUAUCCGGGAGUUAUUUUUUAAACGAACAGAGUACAACUCCCUGACACACACGCAGGUGUAUCUGGAACUAAGAUGAACAUGAAAGGACCCUCUUAUGGGUGGGUACUCAUAGCCCUUUCAUGUGAGUCUAAUCUCUUAUUUAGGUCUCCAGAAUCCUGUUGGCUUCAUUUCCAGGGAGCUGGAGGCCCUUACAUCUGGUUCUCUUCUGGCUGCUUAAGAAUGGACUCAUGCCCACCCUGCAAGUGCUGGGUCAGGGGAUUCAUGUGUAGGGCUUGACUCUGAGCAGUUGAGUUAUUUAUAAUGUAUUUAUUAGGAAGGGGUACCUUGAGACUAUUAUUAUGUGCUUCAGCAAGACAUCUUGUUCAUGUUUUAUGCUUUUAAAGAGACGUUUGAAUGAAUGUUUGACUCAGGUUUGUUAACAUAACCUUCAAUAACUGCAGUACCAAAAAGUUGCGCUCAAUUGAUGAAAAAAAAAAAAGAAUUGUAUGUUUUAGGAGUCAAAACUUAAAACAAGUGGAAUUCAAUGGUAUAUAUUUUUUCUAAAGCUGAAAAAGUAUUUUAUUAAGAGUUAUUAUAAAAAAAGAUUGAUUACUUAUAUAGGAAGAUGAUUGUAUUUUUUCAAAUGAUCAUUGAAAAGUAAUUCAGAUGAUGUUUGUGAAGUGUAGGGGAAAGGGAACCGUAUUGAUGUUUUUAGUUCUGUGAACACUAAUUUGUGUGCAGCUAUUAAAAUGAUUGUAAAGUUGACUACUGUAAAAUUUCCAUAAUUAUGUGUGUACAUAAAUUAUAUGUAUUUACAUGUGUAUGUCUUAAAAUUAUUUGUACACAUGUGCUUACAUAGAUUCACCAAGAAGGGGAUGUAUAUAAUAUAGAAAGUAUAUAGCAAAGUAAUUCUACUCCAGUAAUAAAAAUGGUUUGACAUGUAUUUUGUUAUGAAUAGUUUAUCUUCCAAAAUAUAUUUUGUUCUAUUUUAAAGUAUAGAAGAAUACACUGCUAAUAAAUAAUAAAAGUCUUAUGAAAUUUGCUUCUUGACUUUUAUA
ensembl:lincRNA